GGUUAAGUCAAAUAUAUUAUUAAGAGCACAGAUCAGCAAAUCAACUCAGUUACCACAAUGAAAGAUAGCACAUUGUUCCAUCAAAAAAAAAGAUAGCACAUUAUAUAUAUUCUUGUUGCUCAAAGUUUUAACAGGGUACAGAAAAAUCAAAGGAAUGGAAUAUCAAAGCUAUCCACUUCAUUAAGGCAUGCUAAAAUACAUUCCUGCCUUAGAAUACUUCAGCUCUGAGAUCUCCAAGAGACUCUCU
rnacentral:lncRNA from 1 species